CUAUAGCUCAGCUGGGAGAGCGCCUGCCUUGCACGCAGGAGGUCAGCGGUUCGAUCCCGCUUAGCUCCACCAU
rnacentral:tRNA from 1 species